rnacentral:rRNA from 1 species
UACAGGGGGUGCAAACGUCGCUCGGAAUCAUUGGGCGUAAAGCGCACGUAGGCGGUUCGUUAUGUCGGAUGUGAAAGCCCUUGGCUUAACCGAGGAAGUGCAUCCGAAACUGGCGAGCUAGAGUACGAAAGAGGAUCGCGGAAUUCCCGGUGUAGAGGUGAAAUUCGUAGAUAUCGGGAGGAACACCGGUGGCGAAGGCGGCGAUCUGGGUCGAUACUGACGCUGAGGUGCGAAAGCGUGGGGAGCAAACAGG